GUUGACAAGAUUGAUGAUUUUCAGCUGGUAUGUCUCCGGAACUGAGGAGGCCCUAGCUUUAAUUUAUUGGUCAGAUCAGUUUGGUUUAAGGGCCCCAGUAAACGAAUGCAAAUGACUUAAGGAACAUUCUAACUCAAAGGCAAGCCAUUAAUCCACGUCUUUCACACCAGAAGCUGAAUCAUCCGAAGGAGGUGCAGUGUGUGGAGACAGGGGUGCUUGUCUCCUCUGUUUCCUCCUUAGGAAGACUUCACUGUUGGAGACCUUUCUUCUGAGUGCUGCCCUGGGGUGCUGUCCAAAAUCCAUGCGUCUCAUGAAUUAUGCCGCCAGAUCUAGAAGGAGCCAGAGUCCUCUUUGGAACUAGGUGAACUGGGCUAAUCAGAAACAGGCCCAUCUCACCCACCAGCCAGUUUGCACCAGGGCCAGAGGAAAGCCGGGGCCUCUGGCUCCCACAUCCCAUGUGGCAACCGACCGUCGGGUUAUGCUUGGCUUUGCAACCAUCAGGAAAGGCCUCACGUCUGCCUAACUGCAAAACGAUUUGGUUGGCUUAUAAAUUGCUGCCUCUAUCAUGUGCUUCCGAAUUGAAAGGAACGGAUGGUUUUAAAAGGUUUAUGUUUCGUUAUUAAUGCAGAAUGACUUCCUGCUGACAAAUUUCGAUUUUUACACAAUUUCUUUGCUGAUGCAGUAUCUCUGCCACCCAUGCUCCAGGGCAGCGUGGAGCCACUUCAGAGCACGCCUUUUGUGACCCAGCACCUAGCAGGGUGUCCUUUUCUGAGUGCAAAAAGAGAAUCCACUGACCUCAUUUGCUUCCGUCCUGUGAACCUCUCUGUGGGUUUCAGAACGCCAGGGUCUGAACAGAGAAGCUUCAGAAUACUUUCUCCGACUGGAGAACGUUUUUAUUGUGGGAGGAAAAAAUGUUGCCAGUCUCACUUCACAGACACCUGGAAUUCAUGAAGUCUGAGGACUUCUUUCAUUUUACUUUCAACUAAAAGCUCCAGCAUGAAACAGCAAAGGCUCACAGAGCUCAAGAUCAGGAGGUGGCCCUGUGAGAGGGUAUUCGGCCUGGAUCCCUGGUGAAACUCCAUCACUGAGCAGCGUAUCUACUUCAGAAAACGUGGAAAGAAAAGAGCCUGGUGGGAAAAGUCGAUCAAGUGACAAUGACGUGCCCUUACGGAAAAAUCUCUGGGUUAAGAAACAAUGGAGAUACCAAACAAGAUAAGACUAAGCCACAGAGAUAUCUGAAAAACUGCCAUCAAUCAAACCUCUUUGUGAAGCCGGUUAGUGCAGCUUCCAUUGUUCUAAGCAGCAGGCAAAAGGAACAAAUAAAAUCCAGCUGUUUCUUCACUGUGGCACCAGAAAAUCCCUCCAAAACCCCCCAAGGUGAACCUCACGUCAACCAAAACCAAGACAUGAGCCAGAGCCUAAACAGAGGAAAGAAAACAGAAGAGAGGAUUCUAGUGAUGUAUCUGGUCAUCAUUCCAAGCAACCAAGCUGAACUUUUGCAUUGACAAACAAUUUUUUCCAGAGCAUUUUAAAAUUUACAGAAUUCAACCCUGUCAACAAGACGGAGGGUCUCCCAAAUGCUGCAAUCUGCUCCGUGCUCUGUGCUGCUCUGCUGGGCUGUCACAACUGCUCCCUGUGCGUUUCUGCAGGCGAGGUCUUCUCCCAGGUAAUUGCUAGUUUACUUGUCUCUCCCACUAGCCUGUAAGUCUACUGAGAACUUAUUAAGAACGGCGUCUCUCUCAGCUCUGUGCCCUAAGUGCCUAACACAUUUUAGGGAUUCCAUAGAAACCUGGCAAACAAACGAGAGGACAUGUGAAUGUCUCCCUUUGAUCUUUCCCCUGGAGCGAGCAGUUUUCCCCACAUUUCUCCCUGAAGCGAGGCUUCUGUCUGAGCAUCGGCCUGCUGUCAUCUCCUAGAGAUCAAUGGUGAUUUUAGAGAUAAUAAAGAUAAUAGAGAUCUGGGAUAGUAUUUUUUUCUAACCAACUACAAACAAACUCAACAUUUUACUAGCAAAGCUCUGCAUGUUUUUUGUUGUUGGUAAAG